CAAGUCCUGCCGAGGCAGUGGUGGUUAGAGCGUUGGACUAGUAACUGGAAGGUUGCAAGUUCAAACCCCCGAGCUGACAAGGACGAGGAGGUGACACUCUGCAUGGAGCCGGAGUCUGCCACUCUAACACAGAGAGAUGAAGCCAUCACCUCCGGGGGCAGUAGUCCUGGGCAACGUAGUCCGGGGCAACCACCAGCACAGCAAAUCACAGAGCGGAAGGCCUCUGAUGUCAGUUGUGGAGCCAUCCAGAUGCUGGAGGAGAAGGAAGAGAAGCAGGGGUCCACUGUUGCUGCCAUGGCAACCAACUGAUUGACAGAUCGUCCUGAGAAACGUGACAGACUGACCCUCGGCGUCAGGAAUGACUGAGCCUAAUAAUUAAAUAUUUAUCAAUAAAUAUGUUCCUUUUCAGGUAUCAAACACAUUUUUGAUGGGAUAUAAACUCUUGUGACUACUGAAGAGCAGAGGAGGAAGAUUUGGAAACAGACUCACGCAGUGACAACAGCUGGCCCAACGGACAACUUGUUUUUGGAAGCCUUACAUUCCCAGAGAGGAGGAGGAGGGAGGGAGAAAAGACUGAGCGAGAAAAAGGAGGUAUGAGGGGAUGAUAAAAAGAAGAGGAACAGCUGAGAUUGAGACAUUUGUAUCAGGAAGAGGAAACGGAGGAGGAGGGAAUUGAAACAUGCAUGCUUUUUAAACAAACGACUUUAUCCAGUCCAGCGUCAAAUAUGAUAAUGAUCAUUAAAUCUAUAGUAAUAAAACGUUAUCAUGACAACAAUGAUUUUCUAACAAAGAAAACAAUCAUGACAACACAAAAAUCUAUGUAUAAGUGAAUGAUAAAAGAAUAUAUAUCAAAAUCACUGUUUUUACAACCCUAUCUCUCAAUGGGAGAACUACUCUGUUUACAGCUUACACUCAACACAUCAUAUAGAAUAAUAUCAACCCCAUAACUUGAAGAACAGAAACACUCACACGUUAUACCCUCUCCUCUUAUGUCAUUCACAUCUAGCAUCCACAACUCUUAUAGAACUAACUGCACGAAUACAGAGCAACUUUAGUAGGUUGAGUUCAUCAUAACCCCCUAAAAAUUACACCUAUUCAAUUAUCCCCAAAAAUGAUUUAAAUCCAAAUUGGCUCUCUGCAACCUAACCACUGCAGUGAAAUCUACUUGAACCCUCCUAACACAGUUAGAAAGACAACAAUGUUACUAUGUUGCUGUGUUCUCCAGAUGUCCAAGGCACAUAAAGGCUGCAGGCCUGUCGGCCACACACACAGCACUGCACAGUUAAAGGAAUGUACUGUACAGUAAGAUAGUGUGCUUCCUACUCUGUCUUUCCGUAUGUUUCUUCAGAAUACUAUGGAGUACCUGUCCUAUAUUUAACUGUAUAGACUUUGCACUGAACCUAGGACACGGCUGGCCAGAGAAGACUCAGGGCAUGGAGCUCCUUGUAGUCUGCUUGACUGUGCAUCAUGACUGACAGGUCCGUGUCAUGGAGUGAAUGGCGAAGAGACAGAGCUGUAGUAGUGAAUCCCUUUGCACUGAUGCCAUCCAACAGAUCAGAGGCUGCCUUUGGACUCUGUCACACGUCAAUGUCCUUGAUUACUGUUCAGAAAGAGCUCUUAGCAUCACCAAGAACCAAAACAGAACCACUAGACGAGAUGGAUUCUGAGCUGUUGUUCCAGGUUCCAAACUAGAGAUGGCUGGAGGAAGAGGGAGUGCUCUGGAAUGUUUUGGUACCAACAGAAAGAGGUAGAGAUGUGCUUCUGUUUUAAUCCAGAUGAUUGUUUUGAUGUCAGCUCUUGGGGAUAAUACCAAGCUUUUCUUUGUGGAGAAAAGAUGAGGAGCAAAUGUUUCUCUGAAAGGUGUAGGUUAGAGCUGUUUGAAUUGGGUGCUGAUUCUUAGAAGGGAAAAAACACAUCUUCAAAAUUGUAACUAAUUAGUGAGGAGCCAAACACAGGUCCCCUAAACGGCUUGUGGCCACGACUGUCAUAUAGAUGUAAAUACUAAUGAGAGAGGAUAUACACCAUCUCUUACAGUCCCCACUGCAACAGUUUCUUUAUUUUCUACACGUCUCAGUCCCAGCUCUUUUCUUUGGGAAUCUUCCUGAGCUCCCAAAUUAAGCGUAUUGCGUUUAGAUUUGUUUCUAUCACGACACUAGUAAAAGGAAAAGGAUAGUGGAAUGUCAACAUUGUAAAUAGUGUGAUCAUUCAAAUAUUGGAUAUCGGAAUACUGUUGUAAAAUAAUGCAAAGGACCUACUUUGACUGGGUUUAAGGAGAACAUUGAAGUCAAUCAGGGAAUAGAACUGAAUACUAGAACCAAACACUAGAACCGAACAGAACCGGUAUCUUCCUGCUCAUGGUGACGACAGCGAUGGAGCAGAACUCUGCCUGAGUCGAGUGUGACGUUUGAGUUAGCGUGUGUAUUUCCUGAAGAGGAAAGUGUGUAUCCCAACGGAGGAAUGGUAGUGAAGUUCAGAGACAUGAUAGAAUGGUGGAAUUUUGGAGAUACUGGUCUGGAAUAUCUGUGCAUGUGUCACUAAUAAAAACAACAACAAUAGCAGUUAUUAUUAUUAGUAUUCUUAUUCAUAUCAUUAUGAAUAUUAUUAUUAUUAUUAAUAUUUUUAUUAUGUGAUGGAGAACAACCUCCUUUCACUCUGAUGAUUGUGUGAAAAAAACUUUUAAGAUAGAAAAAAGGUUUAUUGACUUGAAUUCAUGAACUUAUUGAUUAUUUAUGCAAUGUUGGGACAAUGUUUAUUUUUCUACUGAAUGAUUGACACCCCCUCCAGUAUAAGACAGAAUAUGCGUGGUUGAUAUAGAGCAGUUUCCUGUUGGUUGGGGCUCUCUCUGAUUGGACAAACAGACAGUGAUAAUAAUACCCUAGGACAGGGGUGGACACUUCUGGAGGGCUUCAUUGUGGCCACAAUUAAUUGUAAUCAGUUGUGUUAAAGCUGGGCUGGAACAAAACCCUGCACACACUGACUGCAUCCCUCCAGGACAAGGGCUAGGGUUAAGGUUACCCACCUCUUCCCUGGAGCUGUCCAUCAUGAAACACACAAUGAUGUCAUUUAUAUAGUCAUAACCAGUCAUGAAGAUUCAUGUCACAGCUGCCAUGAUCACCCAGGCAAUGACAACGCAACCUCAACCACACAACUUCCUUUAGGCUACUAGUCAUAAGUGUCCAUCAGCUGUCAUGACACGUAUAACGUGUCUGCAAGACAGGAUGCAUAUUGGUGUUAGAACUAACCAAGGCUAGGAGUCUAUCCUGACCACGUGACCUGACCAGGAUAGACUAAGCACCCCUACUUCUAACAGAUGGUUCUAGUGAGCUGCAACCUUGUGGUGUUCUUCAGUUUGUGUUAUGCAUUAGCCUUCACCUGUCUGCCUCAGACUGGCUCUGAGAGCUACAACCUACAGGAUGUCUUUACCCAACCACUCUUAUUCAUUUAUUUAUUUAAUGAUUAUUUGGGGGGAGGAAUAACAUGACAGCCUGUACAUAGUUUAUUAUUUAUUGUAGGUAAGUCUUUUUGAAGCAGUAUUGUUCUGUGUGUUGUCCUUGGGACUUUCUGUAGUGAUAGACCUUUGACCCCAGAGAGAUUGUUCUGCUUCAUUGAAAGCACCAACAUGGACCCAGAGAAUGAUACUACUUCAACGAAUAUAUUUUAUUGAUUUUUGGAUAAUUAAGAACUUAAUAAUUGAAUAAAAUAAUAACAAGAAGCCAAAUGUAUUUCCUUGAUGUUCCAGUUUAUUGUCUUUGUU
ensembl:lncRNA